rnacentral:lncRNA from 1 species
AAACUAGCUAGAAUAGAUUCUGUUCUCUGAAACAGAUCCCUGAUUGAAACACGUGGGAAGUUUUGCUGGCCAAGGUAGGGAAAUAAACUUCCUAUAUUGUCUUGGCUAUGCAAUACUAUUAAGACAGGUUUACAUCUGGUUUUCAGAAAACUGAUUUAAAUGCUAGUUUUCUAGGAAAUAUCAGUAUAUACACCAAUCUACAGUGGCUUAUGGUCCUUAAGAAUCUGUGAUGGGCUUGACUCCAAUAAUCCGUUCUAUUUCAAAGUGAAAGAAACCUUACUUGUUUUCAGGAAAUCAUGUGGCCCACAUUUCUCAGCCUCCCUUGGAGCUAAACAUGGACAUGUGACUAAGUCCCACUCAAUGAGAAGUUGUUUUGCAUGUCCUCUGGAAAAUCAUUUUAAAAAGAUAACUUUCUUCUAGCUACCUGUAGAGCAGAUAAAGCCAACAGGACAUGCUAACAGAUUUGUUGUAGGAUGUGAGAAAAAGAGAAGAACCAAGACAAACUUCAGGGAGUUUGGUCAGAGCUACUGGAGGGAUAGAUAUGUCAUCAACUGAAAUGGAGAAAGCUGUGGGUGAAGGUUUGGAGAAACAUCAGGAGUUCAGUUUUGCACGUGAGAUGGGUAUCCCUAUCUUGCCCAGCUUGGCCUUCAGCUCUGAAACUCAAGUGAUUUUCCUGUCUCAGCCUCCCAAGUAGUUGGGACUACAGGUUGCACCACUACACCUGGCUCUGAUUUAUUCUUGAAGACUCCAAAUAAAGAACUGACAGAAACUCUAAAUGUGAUGUUAUGUACUGAGUUACAACUAUUCUGAAGUAUGUUACAUGUAUUUUGUUAUUAUGAUGAUGAUUAUUUUGAGACAAGGUCUCACUCUGUCAUCCAGGCUGUAGGGCAAUGGUGUGAUCAUAGCUCACUGUAGCCUUGAACUGCUGAGUUCAAGGGCUCCUCCUGCCUCAGCUUCCUGAGUAGCUGGGACUACAGUCACAUGCCAUGGUACCUGGCUAAUUAAGAAAAUUUUUUUUUUAGAGACAGGGUCUCACUUUGUUGCCCAGGCUGGUUUUGAACUCCUGGGAUCAAGUGAUCCUCCCAAAGUGCUGGGAUUACAGGCAUGAACCACCACACCUGACCUAUUUUUCUAUUUAAUGGUCAAGAAAACUAAUGUUUUAAAAUGUUCCUUUAUUUUAUAAAUUAGAACAAAUUGCAGGUUGUCCUUUGUCACUACAGCAAACGCUUACUUGCAUUGCAAUGUCCUUUCUUAAUAAAGGAAGAAAAGUGUAAAAUUACAGCUGGCAAUUUUAUU